rnacentral:rRNA from 1 species
AUUGAACGCUGGCGGAAUGCUUUACACAUGCAAGUCGAACGGCAGCACGGACUUCGGUCUGGUGGCGAGUGGCGACCGGGUGAGUAAUGUAUCGGAACGUGUCCAGCCGUGGGGGAUAACGUAGUGAAAAUUACGCUAAUACCGCAUCCGACCUAUGGAUGACAGGGUGGGGUCGAAAGACCUUGCGCGUCUGGAGCGGCCGCUAUCAGAUUAGGUAGUUGGUGAGGUAAAGGCCCACCAAGCCAACGAUCUGUAGCUGGUCUGAGAGGACGACCAGCCACACUGGAACUGAGACACGGUCCAGACUCCUACGGGAGGCAGCAGUGGGGAAUUUUGGACAAUGGGCGAAAGCCUGAUCCAGCCAUUCCGCGUGCAGUAUGAAGGCCCUCGGGUUGUAAACUGCUUUUGUACAGAACGAAAAGGUUUCUACUAAUACUAGGAGCUCAUGACUGUACUGUAAGAAUAAGCACCGGCUAACUACGUGCCAGCCGCCGCCGUAA